AUGCUAAAGAACUAAUCAAUUCACAUACCCCUGUUGGAUAUUAUUUACAUAUUACUGCUAUGUUUACCGAAAUCUCUACUGGGGUUAAAAUAAAAGAAACAGCCCGAAGUCCUAAUAUGGUGUUGAAGUCUAAAGCCAUGUCACUAAUUGAUGUUCCUCAGAAAUUUAAACCUGGUUUUCCAAUAAAAUUUAAGGUCCAGAUUAAAUACCUUGAUGGGACACCUGUAACUGAUGGAACAAUACGAGUUGACGUGUCUGAACGUCAGCACAAUGUUCGAACAUCAAGUAAAAUAUUCCGCAGGUGGUAUUCUGUGGCAAACGGUGUGAUUGUUGUCCCCCUAGAGAACGUGUCGCCUUACGCAAAGGCACUCACCUUUACGGCCAACUACAACUCAGACCAAUUGUU